UACGUAGGGUGCAGGCGUUAUUCGGAAUUACUGGGCGUAAAGCGUGCGCAGGCGGUCUGCUAAGAGAGAUGUCAAAUCCCCGGGCUUAACCUGGGAACUGCGUUUCUAACUGGCAGGCUUGAGUGUGGCAGAGGGGGGUGGAAUUCCACGUGUAGCAGUGAAAUGCGUAGAGAUCGGGAGGAACAUCAAUGGCGAAGGCGGCCAUCUGGAUCAACACUGACGCUGAAGCACGAAAGCGUGGGGAGCAAACAGG
rnacentral:rRNA from 1 species